UACGUAGGGUGCAAGCGUUAAUCGGAAUUACUGGGCGUAAAGCGUGCGCAGGCGGUUUUGUAAGUCUGUUGUGAAAUCCCCGGGCUUAACCUGGGAAUGGCAUUUGGGACUGCAAGGCUUGAGUGCGGCAGAGGAGACUGGAAUUCCUGGUGUAGCAGUGAAAUGCGUAGAUAUCAGGAGGAACACCGAUGGCGAAGGCAGGUCUCUGGGCUGACACUGACGCUCAUGCACGAAAGCGUGGGGAGCAAACAGG
rnacentral:rRNA from 1 species